rnacentral:rRNA from 1 species
GAUGAACGCUAGCGGCAGGCUUAAUACAUGCAAGUCGAGGGGCAGCAGGACUGUAGCAAUACAGUUGCUGGCGACCGGCAAACGGGUGCGGAACACGUACGCAACCUACCCAAAACUGGGGGAUAGCCCGGGGAAACCCGGAUUAAUACCUCGUAACCUUUUUAAGUGGCAUCACUUGAUAAGUAUAGCUCCGGCGGUUUUGGAUGGGCGUGCGCCUGAUUAGGUAGUUGGUGCGGGUAACGGCCCACCAAGCCUGCGAUCAGUAACUGGUGUGAGAGCACGACCAGUCACACGGGCACUGAGACACGGGCCCGACUCCUACGGGAGGCAGCAGUAAGGAAUAUUGGUCAAUGGACGCAAGUCUGAACCAGCCAUGCCGCGUGAAGGAUGAAGGUCCUCUGGAUUUGUAAACUUCUUUUAUGGGGGACGAAACCCGGAUAUUCUUAUCCGAUUGACGGUACCUCAGGAAUAAGCACCGGCUAACUCCGUG